rnacentral:tRNA from 1 species
GCCUGGGUGGCUCAGUUGGUUAAGCGUCCGACUUCGGCUCCGGUCAUGAUCUCAUGGUUCGUGGGUUCAAGCCCCCACGUCAGGCU